rnacentral:lncRNA from 1 species
AAAAAUUCCCAUGAGAAUUGGAUUUAAAAUGGAUGAGAUAUGAUUUUUACAAGUUUGAUGAUCAAAAGUGAAAUAAAAAUGAAAAAAAAAAUAUGAUAAUUAAGUAGAGAUCAUGAUGAAAAUAAUGCAAAAAUUCCCAUGAGAAUUGGAUUUAAAAUGGAUGAGAUAUGAUUUUUACAAGUUUGAUGAUCAAAAGUGAAAUAAAAA